CUUGUAUGACUUAGUUGUGUUAAAACGCCCACUGAAGCUAAGCAAGGCUGCACCCGCUCAGUACCUGGAUGGGAGACCACAUGGGAAAGCUAGGUUUCUGCGGGA
rfam:Danio rerio chromosome 12, GRCz11 reference primary assembly.